CCAUCUCAUUUUCUUUUCUCCUCUCUCUCGUUCUCCCUGUAACUCCCCUCUCUCAUUCUCCCUGUAAAGUUUCCCUUUUACUACCACCAUCACAAUCUUUAUCAUCAACAUCAGAACAAACACUUAUUUUCGUCGUCGAGGAAGAAAUGUAUCGUCACUACCAACACAUGAACUAUUUCUUAUCUUCUUUUAUUUCACAUCUAAUCUAUGAAGUAAACCCUAGAUUCAGAUUAUUUUUUUUUAUGCUUUUGAUUCUUCCACUCAUAAUCUUUAACCUGAUCUUAAUAUUAGCUCAGAAUCAUGUUCACCUUAUUAGUAUCUGGGUUAAUAUGAUUAUAAUUCGUUUACAAAUUACAGUUUUUUGACCUAAUGAAGGAAAUCAGAGUAAAUCUGAUUGCAAAGUUUCUAUUUUUAUAAGCGUUGUUGGCGCGAGAUUUUCCCUCAAAUCCUUUCUUUUUUUGCAGAGGUUUCUUUGUAAACACACUUGGAGACUCAUUUACUCUUUCCUUAGAUUCAAGUAAUUUGGGGGUUUUUCUUCAAAUGGAAGAUUUAUAAAAAAAGGGGGUGCCUUCUGGUUUGGCAAUUCUUUUUCCACAAUGAUCCAAUUUUUUUUUGCAGAUUUGGAAAGAGGUUUCCUUGGAUCUAGGGUAUUACAUUUCAGUUUCAGAGCUAUAUAAGGUGGGCUGAACUUUGGAAAAGACAAGAAACGGUUUUGUAGAGUAUUCAGGACCAUAUAUCUACUGCAGCAGUAGACCAAGGAUCCGCAAAAUCGCCAGGUGCCCUUGGGUUGAACCACGUGGUGUCUACCAAGGGCAUGACGACACUGUUGAAUAUGUGCAGUUUUUCCUUCAAGGUGAUUGACAAUUAUACUUAGAUAUAUUUUAUGACGUUUUGUAUGGUUAUAACUUCUCCAUACGGUUUUGCGGAUUUCAUUUUCUUUGACAGAUUUUAUUUUAAGUGUAUUGUAGUAUUCAAGAGUUCUGCAGUGUGGGUGAUAAUUAUUGUCUCAUUCUUUGCGAUAGGUUAGACUGUAAAGAAAAAGCAAUAUUCGUUUUUAUUAGUUGCUUACGUUAAUAUUUCUUCAUGUUUGUUACUGACUUCAUCAAUUGUUUUAUGGUGAUUCAGCUUUUUCUGGAAAAUUUUCUAACCGGUGGAGACUUUGAUUCUUACUUUUAUACUGGUGUACACUCUGUAGGAAGAGAUACGUUUCAUGAUUAAUCCAGAGUUAAUUGUUGCUUUUCUUUCCUUAUAUGGAUGACAAUGAAGCUAUUGAAAUUGUUGGCGUGGAAAGGUUUUCAAUUUAUACUAGGUUUUGACACAUGUCCUAAUAGAGGAGCAGAAUUGUGAAUCUCUUGAAGUGGACUUUGCCAACAAAUAUAUUGGUGGUGGUGCUAUUGGUAGAGGUUGCGUACAAGUUUGUUGAAUUUUUUCUUUAUGAUACGUGGAUAUGUCGUUCGUGAAUAAGCCAAUCCAAGGCAAACAUCACUGAAUUCAAAUUCGGCAUUUCUUAGAUCAACCAUGAUAAGUGGAAUGUUAUUUAAUCUUAAGAUUGGGGUAUCUUUUGUUAUAUUACUGCAACGAGUAUUUUACAAGCCAUGACCUCAAUUGAGCUCAAGCUUGGGUUUACUUCGUUGAUCGUUCAUACUUAAGGGAAGAAGCAUUGUAAGAACUUCUGACUGCUUUUAUGAAAUUAGCAUGGUCAAUUUUACAAUGUAGUGUACCAUAAAAAAAAAAAAAAAAAAAAAAAAAAAAAAAAAAAAAAAAAAAAAAAAAAAAAAAAAAAAAAAAAAAACUUUGCGAAAUAACCCCACUUUCUCCUGUUGCAGAUUGGUAAAAAGAAAGAACGUGUUGGAACUAGAAUGCCUAAUUCUCCUCCGAGCUUAUUCUUCUAGCGCGCUGGUCACAGGUAUAUAAAGACCAAGCUUUUAUGAAAAUUUUGCUUUCCAGUGAAUACAUCUGACACAUGGAUAAUUGUUAGUGUCUCUGAUGAUUGUGAAAGCAAAUUUGGUGGUGGGACAUUGCAGGUAAACCUGUUGUGUUCCGAAUCCCGAAUCUUUAAGUUACAUACUCCCAAGUGUUGAAUAGAACUUGAGUUUUUUCUACUGAGAAAAGUGUUAUUUUCUAACUGAAUUGUAUUCGGCACAGAUUUGGCGCAUGAGCUAUCUUAUUUACAGGCCAGGGGAGGAGGUUCUAUUAGAACUUGAAAGUUCAAGGCAUACAUACUAGGUACAAGUUGAGACCGGCUGGGAUGCAGCUGAAUUUAUUCUUGCUAGAGUUGGAGGAGUUGAGACCAGCUUGGAUGCAGCUGAAUUUAUUUUUCUUGGAGCAAAUAUAGUGCAGGUUUGAAGUAUAGUUAGAAGUUUCCUUUGCAGAACGUGAAAAUGAAAAGCUUGUUCAAAAAACUACAAGUGUUGGGUAUGUUCCCUUGUUUGAUUAAUCAUUGAAAUGUCAAUUUUAAUG